GACGAACGCUGGCGGCGUGCCUAAUACAUGCAAGUCGAACGCACAGUUUAUACCGUAGCUUGCUACACCAUAGACUGUGAGUUGCGAACGGGUGAGUAACGCGUAGGUAACCUGCCUGGUAGCGGGGGAUAACUAUUGGAAACGAUAGCUAAUACCGCAUAAUAUUGAUUAUUGCAUGAUAAUUAAUUGAAAGGUGCAAUUGCACCACUACCAGAUGGACCUGCGUUGUAUUAGCUAGUAGGUGAGGUAACGGCUCACCUAGGCGACGAUACAUAGCCGACCUGAGAGGGUGAUCUGCCACACUGGGACUGAGACACGGCCCAGACUCCUACGGGAGGCAGCAGUAGGGAAUCUUCGGCAAUGGACGAAAGUCUGACCGAGCAACGCCGCGUGAGGGAAGAAGGUUUUCGGAUCGUAAAGCUCGGUUGUAAGAGAAGAACGGGUGUGAGAGUGGAAAGUUCACACUGUGACGGUAUCUUACCAGAAAGGGACGGCUAACUACGUG
rnacentral:rRNA from 1 species